UAUAAUAUGAGGCAGGCAUUACCUGUAAAUGGGGACGAAGUCUGUAUGAAUUAUUUUUUUGUAACUUAAAUAUUUGUUAAAAAAAAAAGAAACGGAAAUACCGUAACGUUUCCGAUUUUGGUUCUGUUGUUAGGGAUUUUAGUUGUGACGUUAUUUAAAUUAUGACGUCAUAUGCAAUGUAAAAAAAGAAACGCUAUCAUCAGGUAACGUUUUUUCAUAUCAAGGAAUUAUUAAAAAUGAAAUUGGUAUUGCGCGUUCCUUCCUAUUUUAUACUAGACUGAUAAUAUAUAUUUUACUCAAAGUUUC
rnacentral:lncRNA from 1 species